GUAGCUCGCAUUAGGCAGCACAUAUACUAAAAUUGUAAUGAUACAGAGAAGAUUAGCAUGGCCCCUGCACAAGGAUGGCAUGCAAAUUCAUGAAGUGUUCCAUUUUUUU
rnacentral:snRNA from 1 species